rnacentral:rRNA from 1 species
GAGUUUGAUCGUGGCUCAGAUUGAACGCUGGCGGCAGGCCUAACACAUGCAAGUCGAGCGGUAGAGAGAAGCUUGCUUCCCUUGAGAGCGGCGGACGGGUGAGUAAUGCCUAGGAAUCUGCCUGGUAGUGGGGGAUAACGCUCGGAAACGGACGCUAAUACCGCAUACGUCCUACGGGAGAAAGCAGGGGACCUUCGGGCCUUGCGCUAUCAGAUGAGCCUAGGUCGGAUUAGCUAGUUGGUGAGGUAAUGGCUCACCAAGGCGACGAUCCGUAACUGGUCUGAGAGGAUGAUCAGUCACACUGGAACUGAGACACGGUCCAGACUCCUACGGGAGGCAGCAGUGGGGAAUAUUGGACAAUGGGCGAAAGCCUGAUCCAGCCAUGCCGCGUGUGUGAAGAAGGUCUUCGGAUUGUAAAGCACUUUAAGUUGGGAGGAAGGGCAGUAAAUUAAUACUUUGCUGUUUUGACGUUACCGACAGAAUAAGCACCGGCUAACUCUGUGCCAGCCGCCG